ACGGUAGCAAGAAGGAUCAAUCAAAAGAGGACCAUCAGAGACAACCAUAGUAUGAUUUUGCUUAAUGGGAAAUUCAAUCGAUUUAGAGGCUCUCAAACCAGCGCCGUCCAAAAUAUCGAACAUAUAUUUGUGUUGCGACAAAAGCAGACAGGAUGAACAUCGAACAACUUCAAUGCAGAGAAAUUAUUUUAAGGUGCGAAGGUCCUUAAUGUGGAAACAUCCGUUCAGGUAGUGUUUGAAGGAGGCACAAGCUUC
rnacentral:lncRNA from 1 species